rnacentral:lncRNA from 1 species
CUUACUCACUUUCCUCUUCUCCCUCCCCAUGUUCGGUUUCUUCCUUAUCACUAACCACUAUCUAACUUAUUACAUAGUUUACUUGUUUAUCUAGUUCAUCAUCAAUUCCUGACUAGGAUGCAAACUCCACAAAGGCCGGGCUUUCGUCUGCUUUGUGGACCACGUUCAGCACCUGAGCCUCUCUCAUUCACACCCAGGCACCAGCUCAGUCGCCCUAGUACUUUGGGUGAAGAGGAAGGAAUAUGGGCAUCAGUGGUUCUUUUGUUCAGCCAAAGAGCACCCGGCACCAUCGGUCUGCUCUUGAGCCUGGCAAGUGCAUUUUUUUUUGGGAGCUACCCCACCAUGGAAUGCCAAGGAGUCCAGGGCAGGACACCAUUCCUAUCAGCAAACACUAGAACAGGGUAGACGCUGUGUGCCUCUGGUGUUUAUCACGUGCUGCCUCUAAUAAAUGCUAUUCACAACCACCACUAGACCAGGUCCCGUGCACCCUGACCCAUUUUAACAAACGUACCCAUUGAAUACAGUGAAGCUGGGGAAGCCCAGCCCAGGAGCAUUGCCUCACUGGGUCAGUCCCACUGCUGGGCUAGGACACCUGUGGUCCCUUCUUCUCACCCUGGAGCUGUGUCUGUGUGAGGGGCUUGCCCCUAAGCCAGCCCACCUGGCACCAUGAGGCCCCUGCCUUAUACAACGGCGAGUCGCCCCAGUUCGCCAUUGCAGCCCCGGACGUGCGCCUCCCGCGGAGCCGCUCGCUCUCCUGAGUCGGAGUCGGGAACCCGGCGUCCGUUGCCAUGGCGACUCCCAGGCUUCCCCACAAGACUCCCACAGCCUGGAGGCUGCUGCGAUACCCCAGAGGAAAGCUGCACCCCCGUAAAUAACCCUUCAGCCUCCCGCCGUGCCCCUGGACCCUGCUCGCUUCCUCCUCUACCCAGGCGCGGAGCUCAGCCUACCU